rnacentral:rRNA from 1 species
CGCCGCGUGAGUGAUGAAGGUUUUCGGAUCGUAAAACUCUGUUGUUAGGGAAGAACAAGUACCGUUCGAAUAGGGCGGUACCUUGACGGUACCUAACCAGAAAGCCACGGCUAACUACGUGCCAGCAGCCGCGGUAAUACGUAGGUGGCAAGCGUUGUCCGGAAUUAUUGGGCGUAAAGCGCGCGCAGGCGGUUUCUUAAGUCUGAUGUGAAAGCCCCCGGCUCAACCGGGGAGGGUCAUUGGAAACUGGGGAACUUGAGUGCAGAAGAGGAGAGUGGAAUUCCACGUGUAGCGGUGAAAUGCGUAGAGAUGUGGAGGAACACCAGUGGCGAAGGCGACUCUCUGGUCUGUAACUGACGCUGAGGCGCGAAAGCGUGGGGAGCGAACAGGAUUAGAUACCCUGGUAGUCCACGCCGUAAACGAUGAGUGCUAAGUGUUAGAGGGUUUCCGCCCUUUAGUGCUGCAGCAAACGCAUUAAGCACUCCGCCUGGGGAGUACGGUCGCAAGACUGAAACUCAAAGGAAUUGACGGGGGCCCGCACAAGCGGUGGAGCAUGUGGUUUAAUUCGAAGCAACGCGAAGAACCUUACCAGGUCUUGACAUCCUCUGACAACCCUAGAGAUA